UAAAGCUUUAUUGUGUAAAGGUUAUAUUCAACGUAAUCGCAAAGAAAAGUUUAUUAUUAAAUUUGAAUUUAUUUUCAGAAUUUAAAUAUUCAAAAUGAUUGAAAAAUUUACACCAGGAAAUUUAUUAAUAACAUCUAUAUUUGUUUUUUGGAUAUACUCAAUAUAUUUUGAGCCUCGACGAUAUCGUUUGUACAACUUAUGGUCGAAUCCUCAGUUAUCUUAUGCUCGUGAGAUAGAAUUGAAACACUUGGGUAAAGUAUACGUACCAGGGGAGCACUUAACUAGAAGUAUGUAUGAAAAAAAAUGAAGCAAAGAUUUUAUAUUGUUUACAAUACAUGUAUAAUACUAAUAUAUAUACAUGUCAAUCAAUAUUAUUGUAGUUAAAACAUUUAAUAAAGUACAUGAAAAAUA